GUGCUUGCUUCAGCAGCACGUAUACUAAAAUUGGAAUCAUACAGAGAAGAUUAGCAAGGCCCCUGCUCAAGGAUGACACACAAAUGCGUGAAACAUUCCAUACUUUA